rnacentral:rRNA from 1 species
GUAGAUUUGGUGAUAAAUGUAAUCAUUAUCCCAGUAAGAGGAUAGUAAGAGGGGGGUAAAACGGGUGCCAGCACCAGCGGUUAAACCUAUCAUCCUCAAAGAAAAAGAGUCGAGUAGUAGGGGGAAAAAAGAUAAAAUUACUAAAGCUAUGCUUUCUGUCUCAAUAUGGUGUAGAAACCAAAGGGAGAUAUGGUAAAUCUUAUAUUACAAACUUUUUUUCCGUAGGGCUGUGGCUAGUGACGGGGCAAAUCCCCUUAACAAUGUUCGUGUUCGGGCGAAGAGUGGUUGUACCAUAGGAAGUCAAUAUACUUGGCGGUGUUACGAAUUCGGUCAGGGGAGCUUGGCGGUUAAUUCGAUGAUCCGCGAGAACCUUACCCCAUAUGUUUCUAUCUGUACGGCCGUUGAUAGUUUAUCUUAAAGGGAUAGGCGCAAUUCCUUAUCAUACCCAGACACGGGUGAUAAGGUAAAAUUCAGGUAAAUGUGGAGGUUAUGAUGGGGCCUUAGCUGAGCUACAAUUUUUAAUUUAAACGGACUUCGCCUGAAAAAAGCGAAAGUGGGCAAGAAGUGUGUAAGUUUAAAAGAGCUUGUAUUACUAAAGACUACGUAGAAGGUGGACUUGAAAGUAAGAAAGAGAUAAGAAAACCUUUCUGAAUAGUUAAACGUAACGCGUACAAACCGCCCAGCGCUCUUGUAUUAAAAA